rnacentral:rRNA from 1 species
CCUACGGGAUGCAGCAGUGCUGCAUAUUGGUCAAUGUCCGAUCGUCUGCACCCGCCAAGUAUCGUGAAGGAUGACUGCCCUAUGGGUUGUAAACUUCUUUUAUAAAGGAAUAAAACGAGGCACGUGUGCCUUUUUGCAUGUACUUUAUGAAUAAGGAUCGGCUAACUCCGUGCCAGCAGCCGCGGUAAUACGGAGGAUCCGAGCGUUAUCCGGAUUUAUUGGGUUUAAAGGGAGCGUAGAUGGGUUGUUAAGUCAGUUGUGAAAGUUUGCGGCUCAACCGUAAAAUUGCAAUUGAUACUGGCAGUCUUGAGUACAGUUGAGGUAGGCGGAAUUCGUGGUGUAGCGGUGAAAUGCUUAGAUAUCACGAAGAACCCCGAUUGCGAAGGCAGCUUACUAAACUGUGACUGACAUUGAUGCUCGAAAGUGUGGGUAUCAAACAGGAUUAGAUACCCGAGUAGUC